rnacentral:rRNA from 1 species
GUGUAUUGCUUGUCAGUGAAUACAUAGCUGGCCGGCGGCAGACGCGGGGAACUGAAAUCUCAGUACCCGCAGGAAGAGAAAGAAAACUCGAUUCCCAUAGUAGCGGCGAGCGAAGUGGGAAGAGCCCAAACCGAGAAGCUUGCUUCUCGGGGUUGUAGGACUGGACAUUGGAGUUACCAAAGUCCGACGUAGUCGAAGUCAGCUGGAAAGCUGCGCCACAGAAGGUGAAAGCCCUGUAAGCGAAACGUCGAACCCUCCGUCCAGGAUCCUGAGUACGGCGGAACACGUGAAAUUCCGUCGGAAUCCGGGAGGACCAUCUCCCAAGGCUAAAUACUCCUGACUGACCGAUAGUGAACCAGUACCGUGAGGGAAAGGCGAAAAGAACCCCUGUGAGGGGAGUGAAAUAGAUCCUGAAACCUGUCUCUUA